GUCCUCUUUGGAAAACGCCACUGUGAGAGAAGGCGCAGCUGAGGGCACGAGAGAGAGAAACUAAUGAAGCCUGUUUAUUCGCCUUUUGUAAACUCUGUGCAGGUGGAGAAAAUAAAUGCUCCCUCAUGUUAAGCUGGUGUGCUAAUGUCAUCACUUCCACAAUGCAUCAUUAAAACCCUACACAACGCAGAAGUAAUCCCGUUACAAAGUGGUGCCGUGACCGUGGCUGAUGACUGGUCAGCAGACUGCAGACCACCGUGCGUGCUGCUAAGUGAUGACUA